CCUACGGGGGGCAGCAGGCGCGAAAACUUUACAAUGCACGAAAGUGUGAUAGGGGAACUCAGCGUGCUCAUGGAAACCAUGGGCUUUUCUACAGGGUAAAUACCUGUGGGAAUAAAGGAUGGGCAAGACCGGUGCCAGCAGCCGCGGUAACACCGGCGUCCUUAGUGGGAAUCACUUAUUAGGUCUAAAGCGCUCGUAGUCGGCUUUGUAAAUUUCUUGUGAAAUCGUGUCGCUUAACGGCACGGCGUGCAGGAAACACUGCAGAGCUUGGGACCGGGAGGCGUCAGAAGUAUUCCUUAGGGAGCGGUAAAAUGUGAUAAUCUAAGGAGGACUACCUGUGGCGAAGGCGUCUGACGAGAACGGGUUCGACGAUCAGGAGCGAAGGCUAGGGGAGCAAACCGGAUUAGAUACCCCAGUAGUCC
rnacentral:rRNA from 1 species